GGUUCCCUACGGGGCGCAGCAGUAGGGAAUCUUCCACAAUGGACGAAAGUCUGAUGGAGCAACGCCGCGUGAGUGAAGAAGGGUUUCGGCUCGUAAAGCUCUGUUGGUAGUGAAGAAAGAUAGAGGUAGUAACUGGCCUUUAUUUGACGGUAAUUACUUAGAAAGUCACGGCUAACUACGUGCCAGCAGCCGCGGUAAUACGUAGGUGGCAAGCGUUGUCCGGAUUUUUUUGGCGUAAA
rnacentral:rRNA from 1 species